rnacentral:lncRNA from 1 species
GAGAAUUGAAAUUGAUGCUACAGGAAGUAAAAGAUAUGGUGAUUCAUUCACUGAUAAGCAAAGACCAGCCUGCUCCAGCAAAGGAUGCCUGAAUGUUGCCAGAAGAUUUGAUCCUUCUGAUUAGAACGCAGCAAGAGCUGUUGGAACUGGAUGGACGCCUUGAUGAUGAUUCCUUUCAUGAAUUACUCUCAAAAGCCUCUCCUGUGUGGGUAGAAUGAAUGCAAAGGAUUGUGCGAAAAGAAUCAUGCGGCGACUCCUGACCGACAAGGUUGCUCGGAACUAUAACUGGAAAGGACAAAAGGAAGAGAUGUGUGCUUUCAAGGGACUGAAAUGAUCUACAUGAUCUGCAAAGCUGUACGGAAGAACCGUGGGUGUAUGGAGGCUUCCGAUAAAGUUAGUGCAGGAGCC